CUUUCAAAUUUAUAUUGUUGUUCUUUUUAGAGCUUGUUAAAUUCGUUUUCUAGUUUUACAAAAUUUCUAAAUUUACGGUUCGUCAUUAAAUGGCUCAGUUUAUGCAAAAAGUAUUUACAACCUAUAGAUUAUUGCAGUCCCAUCAACUGUGCUGUCAGCAAAUGAUUAAAUACUCUGAAAAGAUAUUUAAAUUGGCCACAGCACAAGAUAAUGUGAAUUUCUUGAAAUCGCAACGCGAGAAUCUAAAACAAUUGCGAAAUAAAAUAAUCAAGGAAAGGGUUUCGAUAAAGGAGAAAAUGAACCAAUUGGAUGAACAAAUCGAGAAUAUCAAAAAGAAAAAUAGUGGUCGAAAUAUGAAGGAUGACGGAUUAAAAAAAU